GGGGCUUUACAGGGACCAAACUGGACAAAUACCACUGUUCCUGGAAGUGAACUUCUUUUCUUCUCUCUCUCUACACACUGCAACACAUCUUGUCUUGCAUUAUUUUAUUAAAUAUUUCCUUCACUGAAGGCCAGUGUUGUGAAGUAACGAAGUACAAGUACUUAGUUACUGUACUGAAGCACAAUUUUCGUGUAUCUGUACUUUACUUAAGUAGAUUUAAUAAUGGAUACUUUCGACUUUUACUCCACUACAUUUUACACUGUGUUAGAAGCGUGGCUCUCAGGUGUGAGACCAGCACCCUCGUCGCAUUUUAACCGUCUCUGGAUGUCGUUAUGAAACGAGCCGGACUCGGUUCACUCCUCGUCAGAAUGUGGAGGGAGGAACAGAGGGAGACGCUGAACCGCCCAAUGACAACUAGGAGAUAAAGGCCAUUCUGCCCGGUAACAAACGCCUACAA